rnacentral:rRNA from 1 species
CACGUAGGUGGCAAGGUAAGUCAAAGGUGAAAGCCCUCGGCUCAACCGAGGAAUUGCCUUUGAAACUGCUUUGCUUGAGUCCAGGAGGGGGGAGCGGAAUUCCCAGUGUAGCGGUGAAAUGCGUAGAUACUGGGAGGAACACCGGUGGCGAAGGCGGCUCCCUGGACUGGUACUGACACUGAGGUGCGAAAGCGUGGGUAGCAAACA